AGCGAACGCUGGCGGCAGGCCUAACACAUGCAAGUCGAACGAACUCUUCGGAGUUAGUGGCGGACGGGUGAGUAACACGUGGGAACGUGCCUUUUGGUUCGGAAUAACUCAGGGAAACUUGUGCUAAUACCGAAUGUGCCCUUCGGGGGAAAGAUUUAUCGCCAUUAGAGCGGCCCGCGUCUGAUUAGCUAGUUGGUGAGGUAACGGCUCACCAAGGCGACGAUCAGUAGCUGGUCUGAGAGGAUGACCAGCCACACUGGGACUGAGACACGGCCCAGACUCCUACGGGAGGCAGCAGUGGGGAAUCUUGCGCAAUGGGCGAAAGCCUGACGGAGCCAUGCCGCGUGAAUGAUGAAGGUCUUAGGAUUGUAAAAUUCUUUCACCGGGGACGAUAAUGACGGUACCCGGAGAAGAAGCCCCGGCUAACUUCGUG
rnacentral:rRNA from 1 species